rnacentral:rRNA from 1 species
AGAGUUUGAUCAUGGCUCAGAUUGAACGCUGGCGGCAGGCCUAACACAUGCAAGUCGAACGGUAACAUUUCUAAGCUUGCUUAGAAGAUGACGAGUGGCGGACGGGUGAGUAAUACUUAGGGAUUUGCCUUUGUGUGGGGGAUAGCCUUUGUGUGGGGGAUAACUAUUGGAAACGAUAGCUAAUACCGCAUAACGUCUUCGGACCAAAGGGGGCUUUCGGGCUCUCGCGCAAAGAGAAACCUAAGCGAGAUUAGCUUGUUGGUGAGGUAAAGGCUCACCAAGGCGACGAUCUCUAGCUGUUCUGAGAGGAAGAUCAGCCACACUGGGACUGAGACACGGUCCAGACUCCUACGGGAGGCAGCAGUGGGGAAUAUUGCACAAUGGGGGAAACCCUGAUGCAGCCAUGCCGCGUGUGUGAAGAAGGCUUUCGGGUUGUAAAGCACUUUCAGCGAGGAGGAAAGGGUGAUGCUUAAUAAGUAUCAUCUGUGACGUUACUCGCAGAAGAAGCACCGGCUAACUCCGUGCCAGCAGCCGCGGUAAUACGGAGGGUGCGAGCGUUAAUCGGAAUUACUGGGCGUAAAGCGCGCGUAGGUGGUUAAUUAAGUCAGAUGUGAAAGCCCAGGGCUCAACCUUGGAACUGCAUUUGAAACUGGUUAACUAGAGUUUUGUAGAGGGUGGUAGAAUUUCAGGUGUAGCGGUGAAAUGCGUAGAGAUCUGAAGGAAUACCAGUGGCGAAGGCGGCCACCUGGACAGAUACUGACGCUGAGGCACGAAAGCGUGGGGAGCAAACAGGAUUAGAUACCCUGGUAGUCCACGCCGUAAACGAUGUCAACUAGCUGUCUGUGGACUUGAUCCGUGGGUAGCGGAGCUAACGCAUUAAGUUGACCGCCUGGGGAGUACGGCCGCAAGGUUAAAACUCAAAUGAAUUGACGGGGGCCCGCACAAGCGGUGGAGCAUGUGGUUUAAUUCGAUGCAACGCGAAGAACCUUACCAUCCCUUGACAUCCACAGAAUUCGCUAGAGAUAGCUUAGUGCCUUCGGGAACUGUGAGACAGGUGCUGCAUGGCUGUCGUCAGCUCGUGUUGUGAAAUGUUGGGUUAAGUCCCGCAACGAGCGCAACCCCUAUCCUUAUUUGCCAGCGCGUUAUGGCGGGAACUCUAAGGAGACUGCCGGUGAUAAACCGGAGGAAGGUGGGGACGACGUCAAGUCAUCAUGGCCCUUACGGGAUGGGCUACACACGUGCUACAAUGGCAGGUACAGAGGGCAGCGAAGCCGCGAGGUUGAGCGAAUCCCACAAAGCUUGUCGUAGUCCGGAUCGGAGUCUGCAACUCGACUCCGUGAAGUCGGAAUCGCUAGUAAUCGUAGAUCAGAAUGCUACGGUGAAUACGUUCCCGGGCCUUGUACACACCGCCCGUCACACCAUGGGAGUGGGAUGCAAAAGAAGUGGCUAGUCUAACCUUCGGGAGGACGGUCACCACUUUGUGUUUCAUGACUGGGGUGAAGUCGUAACAAGGUA